UAGGGAAUCUUCCACAAUGGACGCAAGUCUGAUGGAGCAACGCCGCGUGAGUGAAGAAGGUCUUCGGAUCGUGAAACUCUGUUGUUAGAGAAGAACACGAGUGAGAGUAACUGUUCAUUCGAUGACGGUAUCUAACCAGCAAGUCACGGCUAACUACGGGCCAG
rnacentral:rRNA from 1 species